ACAACACCAAACCUACUUAAGUUUUCAUGGAUUCCCGACUGAAAUGAGUCUAAGGAAGAAGUGGAUUCAAGCGGUUCGCCGGGAUGAAGGGCCAAACUUUAAAAUAAAACAAGUUAGCACGUUUGUUUGUAGCCGGCACUAGUGAAUCAGACUACAAACGCUACAGCUAGCAACCAACCGGGGUCACACCAAGCGACUGAAAAUCGGGUCUUUACCCUCCCGUUUCCAGUGGAACAACUGGGGACUGCCAAGAAGGGGGUCUGUUUAUAAAAGAGCAUCAACUCGCUUAGGCCAUGACGUUCACCCAUCCCUUCCUCUGGAGCAACCGCUGCCCUGUGAAAAAGAGCCGAUGGAGGAGAUCUCAGCUUCGGUGGUGAUGACAGAACAUGAUUUCGGUUCUGCUCCUAAACCAGGUGCACUGGAUGCUGCUGCUGUAAACAUACAGCAAUUGGAAGAAACAGUCAAGGCGCUGAUGAGAGCUGUCACAGCUGAAAGUGGUUCAAGUGCAUUUUCACAGAUUCUGUGUCUCAGACGCGGACAUCCUUUUUUACACCAGAUUCACGUCAAGAGAUGUUUUUUGUGACUUCUGGGAGGUUAUUCAACCAUCUGCCUCCAAGUUGGUUUAUUGGUCGAAAGCUCAGAAAAAGAAACAAACAUUUGAACCCAUUUCUCCCAGUCCAACGUGUAGACUGCAACUGGUUGAGUUUUUUCUCUUCUGCUGCCGGGUUGCUGCAGGCCUGCAAGGGAAGGUGCUGGCUGACAUGUUUCAGAGCUGACUGAACGAAGUGGACUGCUGGAUUUACUGGAGCCAGGAGAUGGCUGCAUGGCAGACAAGGGUUUCACCAUCGAGAAGCCACUAGCUGAUCGUGGGGCAACGCUGAUUAUACCACCCUUCAAGAUGACAGUUCACUGAAGAGGAUGCUCUGAAAACACAAGCAAUCGCUCGACUUCGAAUCCUCGUAGAAAGAGCAAUAGGCAGAGUCAAG